GGAAGGAUCAUUACCGAAUUGUCAACACGAGUUGUUGCUGGUCCUCAAAACGGGGGCACGUGCACGCUCUGUUCACACAUCCACUCACACCUGUGCACCCUCUGUAGUUCCGUGGCAUGGGGGACUCUGUCCUCCUGUUGUGGUCCUACGUCUUUACAUACACUCUGUAACAAAGUCUCAUGGAAUGCAUGACGCGUUUAACGCAAUACAAUACAACUUUCAGCAACGGAUCUCUUGGCUCUCGCAUCGAUGAAGAACGCAGCGAAAUGCGAUAAGUAAUGUGAAUUGCAGAAUUCAGUGAAUCAUCGAAUCUUUGAACGCACCUUGCGCCCUUUGGCUAUUCCGAAGGGCAUGCCUGUUUGAGUAUCGUGAACACCUCAACUCUCAUGGUUUGCCGUGAUGAGCUUGGACUUUGGGGGUCUUGCUGGCCUUUGGUCGGCUCCUCUCAAACGGAUCAGCUUUCCAGUGUUUGGUGGCGUCACGGGUGUGAUAACUAUCUACGCCUGUGGUUUUCUGCCAGAUAACCUUCAGUGAUGGAGGUUCGCUGGGGCUCAUAAAUGUCUCUCUUCAGUGGAGACAGCUUUUGGACGUUUGAUCUCAAAUCAGGUAGGACUACCCGCUGAACUUAAGCAUAUCAAUAAGCGGAGGAAAAGAAACUAACAAGGAUUCCCCUAGUAACUGCGAGUGAAGCGGGAAGAGCUCAAAUUUAAAAUCUGGCGUCCUCCGGUCGUCCGAGUUGUAGUCUGGAGAAGCGUUUUCCGUGUUGGACCGUGUGUAAGUCCCUUGGAACAGGGCGUCGUAGAGGGUGAGAAUCCCGUCUUUGACACGGACUACCAAUGCUUUGUGAUGCGCUCUCAAAGAGUCGAGUUGUUUGGGAAUGCAGCUCAAAAUGGGUGGUAAAUUCCAUCUAAAGCUAAAU
rnacentral:rRNA from 1 species